GACGAACGCUGGCGGCGUGCCUAAUACAUGCAAGUUGAGCGCUGAAGGUUGGUACUUGUACCAACUGGAUGAGCAGCGAACGGGUGAGUAACGCGUGGGGAAUCUGCCUUUGAGCGGGGGACAACAUUUGGAAACGAAUGCUAAUACCGCAUAAAAACUUUAAACACAAGUUUUAAGUUUGAAAGAUGCAAUUGCAUCACUCAAAGAUGAUCCCGCGUUGUAUUAGCUAGUUGGUGAGGUAAAGGCUCGCCAAGGCGAUGAUACAUAGCCGACUUGAGAGGGUGAUCGGCCACAUUGGGACUGAGACACGGCCCAAACUCCUACGGGAGGCAGCAGUAGGGAAUCUUCGGCAAUGGACGAAAGUCUGACCGAGCAACGCCGCGUGAGUGAAGAAGGUUUUCGGAUCGUAAAACUCUGUUGGUAGAGAAGAACGUUGGUGAGAGUGGAAAGCUCAUCAAGUGACGGUAACUACCCAGAAAGGGACGGCUAACUACGUG
rnacentral:rRNA from 1 species